AUAGUGUGAUCCUGGCUCAGAUUGAACGCUGGCGGUAUGCUUAAGACAUGCAAGUCGUGCGGUAGAAGGCUUCGGCCUUUGAGAGCGGCGGACGGGUGAGUAACACGUGGGAAUCUACCUAUUAGUGGGGGACAGCCCAGCGAAAGCUGGAUUAAUACCGCAUACGCCCUACGGGGGAAAGCAGCAAUGCGCUAAUAGAUGAGCCCGCGUAAGAUUAGCUAGUUGGUAAGGUAAAGGCUUACCAAGGCGACGAUCUUUAGCUGGUCUGAGAGGAUGGCCAGCCACAUCGGGACUGAGACACGGCCCGGACUCCUACGGGAGGCAGCAGUCGGGAAUAUUGGACAAUGGGCGAAAGCCUGAUCCAGCAAUACCGCGUGUGUGAAGAAGGCCUGCGGGUUGUAAAGCACUUUCAGUUGGGAAGAUAAUGACGUUACCAACAGAAGAAGCACCGGCUAACUCCGUGCCAGCAGCCGCGGUAAUACGGAGGGUGCAAGCGUUAAUCGGAAUUACUGGGCGUAAAGCGUGCGUAGGCGGCCUGUUAAGUCAGAUGUGAAAGCCCCGGGCUUAACCUGGGAACUGCAUCUGAUACUGGGAGGCUAGAAUGUGGGAGAGGAGAGUGGAAUUUCCGGUGUAGCGGUGAAAUGCAUAGAGAUCGGAAGGAACACCAGUGGCGAAGGCGGCUCUCUGGACCAACAUUGACGCUGAGGCACGAAAGCGUGGGUAGCAAACAGGAUUAGAUACCCUGGUAGUCCACGCCGUAAACGAUGUCAACUAGCCGCCGGCCUCACUCUAGAGGUCGGUGGUGCAGCUAACGCAUUAAGUUGACCGCCUGGGGAGUACGGCCGCAAGGUUGAAACUCAGGGAAUUGACGGGGGCCCGCACAAGCGUGGAGCAUGUGGUUAAUUCGAUGCA
rnacentral:rRNA from 1 species